CAAAAGAUGAUGACAAGGAGUAGUAAUGAUGACUUUCGGCUCUAGAGAGCUGGCGGUAGGUGCAAGCCAGUCCGAAACCUCAUGAACUCGCCUUUGGAAUUGCAGGUGCGAAUCAUAAUUAGUAGUGCCUGCCGCUGAUCUGCGUUAAAGACAUAAAGCAGGGUGCCGAUUGAGGGCACUAAUCUGGGUGGUACCGCGGGAACUAUACUCUCGUCCCAAUU
rnacentral:ncRNA from 1 species